rnacentral:snRNA from 1 species
AUACUUACCUGGCAGGCGAGAUACCCUGAUCACAGAGGUGGUUUUCACAGGGCGAGGCUUAUCCAUUGCACUCUGGAUGUGCUGAUCACUGCGAUUUUCCCAAAUGUGGAAACUUGACUGCAUAAUUUGUGGUAGUGGGGGACUGUGUUCCCACUCUCCCCUG